AAAUUGAAGAGUUUGAUCAUGGCUCAGAUUGAACGCUGGCGGCAGGCCUAACACAUGCAAGUCGAACGGUAACAGGAAGCAGCUUGCUGCUUCGCUGACGAGUGGCGGACGGGUGAGUAAUGUCUGGGAAGCUGCCUGAUGGAGGGGGAUAACUACUGGAAACGGUGGCUAAUACCGCAUAACGUCGCAAGACCAAAGAGGGGGACCUUCGGGCCUCUUGCCAUCAGAUGUGCCCAGAUGGGAUUAGCUAGUUGGUGAGGUAACGGCUCACCAAGGCGACGAUCCCUAGCUGGUCUGAGAGGAUGACCAGCCACACUGGAACUGAGACACGGUCCAGACUCCUACGGGAGGCAGCAGUGGGGAAUAUUGCACAAUGGGCGCAAGCCUGAUGCAGCCAUGCCGCGUGUAUGAAGAAGGCCUUAGGGUUGUAAAGUACUUUCAGCGGGGAGGAAGGUGUUGUGGUUAAUAACCGCAGCAAUUGACGUUACCCGCAGAAGAAGCACCGGCUAACUCCGUGCCAGCAGCCGCGGUAAUACGGAGGGUGCAAGCGUUAAUCGGAAUUACUGGGCGUAAAGCGCACGCAGGCGGUCUGUCAAGUCGGAUGUGAAAUCCCCGGGCUCAACCUGGGAACUGCAUUCGAAACUGGCAGGCUUGAGUCUUGUAGAGGGGGGUAGAAUUCCAGGUGUAGCGGUGAAAUGCGUAGAGAUCUGGAGGAAUACCGGUGGCGAAGGCGGCCCUCUGGACAAAGACUGACGCUCAGGUGCGAAAGCGUGGGGAGCAAACAGGAUUAGAUACCCUGGUAGUCCACGCCGUAAACGAUGUCUACUUGGAGGUUGUGCCCUUGAGGCGUGGCUUCCGGAGCUAACGCGUUAAGUAGACCGCCUGGGGAGUACGGCCGCAAGGUUAAAACUCAAAUGAAUUGACGGGGGCCCGCACAAGCGGUGGAGCAUGUGGUUUAAUUCGAUGCAACGCGAAGAACCUUACCUGGUCUUGACAUCCACAGAAGAAUCCAGAGAUGGAUUUGUGCCUUCGGGAACUGUGAGACAGGUGCUGCAUGGCUGUCGUCAGCUCGUGUUGUGAAAUGUUGGGUUAAGUCCCGCAACGAGCGCAACCCUUAUCCUUUGUUGCCAGCGGUC
rnacentral:rRNA from 1 species